GGCAGAGUAGACUAAAUGGUAAGUCGUUGGGCUCAUGACCCUGAAAUGAAGGUUCGAAUCCUUCCUCUGCCA
rnacentral:tRNA from 1 species